GUACAACCAAAUUGGUUCCAGAAAAUUGUAAAAGACUGGGGUUUAGGCAUGGAACAUCACUGGUGCUGUGCUUAACAGAUUAAGUGAAUAAAAGAUGAACAGUAAAGGAAAAUGUAAUCAGCAAGCUCCGCUAGUUCUGUUGUCAGACCCUGCUGUCUUCUGCACCUUCCUUUCUGAGUAUAGACCUGAGAAACUAUGUCCAGAUGCCCCCAAAAAUGGCAUAUCAUGAGACCAAGCCUUCAGCUCCUCAUCCUUACCAGAGUUAAACUCCCCCAUGACUGCCACUCUUCUUCUGCAACUCUUCAUCCUUUUCUUUACUCCCUCCUUUUCCUCUGGGCACUCAUUUUUCUUUCCUCUUAGCACCAUGGAGGUUUUGCAGGAGAUAAUAUGACAGCUCUUCAUGCAAGUAGCCAAACAAUGCCUCAUUUCCCAGGGGGAGUUUGUGCUUUUCGUGUUCAGUUGCCAUCCACUUUAGGGAGCGUGGAUAACUAUGUAUGGCAUUCAUCAUUAAUUCUGCCAAAGCUAGGGCUGAAAUGGAGACUGAGCUGCAUUAAUAUUGUGAUUUCAGUUCCUGCUAAUUAGUACUGUAAAGAAUUGUUCUUCAUUUAUGUUCUGUCUCAGUUCCAGAGCAGGCCUGCAGGGAGGGGGAGAAGCUCUUCUGGAAGGUGAGACAUGGGGAGUUGAUGUUUUCUCCUCACAUGCAAUUUCUGCAAUCCAUACUUUUCUCUGAGGCUGUGCCAGACACAUGGGCUAAACUGGCAUAUCCAUCUACACACAGCCUUGCCUGCUGCAACUCGUCUCAUGCUGAUCACCUUCUACAGUUGAUUUUGGACAUACCUACAUGAAGGAAGGAACAAAUUCCACCAAAACCAUGAUCUUAUGCCUACGGUUACCGAUCUUCUCGUGCACUAAGGAAAAUGUGACAUCUGGACACAGGACCUCGUGCUGCCAGUGGUGGUGUGGCUUUCUGGCUUGUUCAAUCCUCAGUCCUUUCUGA